rnacentral:misc_RNA from 1 species
UUUCCGUAGGUGAACCUGCGGAAGGAUCAUUAUUGGAUUUUGAAACUUCAGGCUGCUGCUGGCUCUCCUCGGAGGGCCUGUGCACGCUUGUUGUCCAUUAUUUCUCCCACUGUGCACAAAUUGUAGACCUUUCAGUAGGCCUAUGUUGUUUUUCACAAUCUCUGAAUGUAAUAGAAUGGUUUUGAAUCUUGGGAAAUACAAUACAACUUUCAGCAACGGAUCUCUUGGCUCUC